UUCAGAGUAUUUUAUUAAAUUAUGUUUUUGUAUUUCAAGUAUAUGGUUCAGUGUUUUAUGCAUAAUUGCUACUUUACUUUUGAGUUUUCUGUCCUAAAGGCUUCGUUAAAGAAGAGAGAAAGAGACAGAGAAAGAGGCGAGAAGGGAAAUGUUAUAUUUGGAGCAUGUGCAGUAAUGGCUACUAAAUAUGAAGGAGAAUAAAAGAGAAAAGAAAGACAACCUAUUGAAAUUCAAAUUAUUUCUACUGAAUCUUAAGAUCCGCCCACGUACAUUAUUUUUUGCAUUGAACCAUCAUAUAGCGCUUUUAUUUUUAUUUUUUUAAAGUGUUACCUUAUCCUUUCUUAUAAAUUAGAGAUGUUUUAAAAUUGAAGAUAAUUACUUCCUACACGUAAUCAGUAGGGGUAUGUUAAUCUAGUCAUUCAUGUCCAACAAUAAACUUUACAAAGUCGUUUUUCCUGGCUGAUUUAGGCAACCCAUUCCAUGUUCUAUUACAGCGGUUCUCAACCUUUUAUCCUCGGUGACCCCUAUUUACAACCCCCCACUAUGCUGCGACCCCAACCCCCACAGCUUUAGAAGAAUAGACAAAAUACAAUCCAUAUUUUCAAUGGUCUUAGGCGGCCCCUGACAAAUCGUCAAUCGACUCUGCAAGGUGUCGCGACCCACAGGUUGAGAACCCCUGUUCUAACAGCACUAGGGAAGAAGGAGCACUUGAAUGAAUUUAUCCUCGCACACGGAAUAGUAAGUGUAUUUCCUUGUUCGCGUCUUUCUGAGAAUAAAACGAGAUGUUGUUUUUGUAUUAGUAGGUUAUGCUUCAGUGUUGUAUGUUUUAUUGCCUGGAGUGCACUGCAGUCACUGACCUAUGAGAUCAUCAUUAGCCUCCUCCAGUCUUAGAACGACUAUGUUUCAUCUCAGAGAGUGAGAUGAAAGCCUGGGCAUUGUUUAUGGUCGGAACGAUGUCGCCCACAGAGCAGUUCCCCCCCCCCCCCU